rnacentral:lncRNA from 1 species
AAAACACGUUGCGGGGUUUCAUGGGUCACGUUUAGCCCAUACGUCGUCUAUUGGCUACCUCUGGGUUGCUGACUUCUAUAAACCUUUUUUUUUUUUUUUUUUUAAAUCUCUUUAUGUCGUCUAGGUGUCCAAAGAACCUUACACAGAAGAGGAAGGAAAAAGGCAUUUUGUGUUUGCUCAGAUGUGAUGCUUGUUAGCCCCAGUAUAGCUAAUCCUCUCUGUGUGACCUUUCUAACUUGAUUUCCAGGCAAUGGAGUAGCCCAGAAAUCGCUUUGGACAGCUGGAGAAGUGUCGACCCCACAUUGCUUGCUCCACCCCAGCUCAAGAUCUAGGUCUCGUACAGUGCUGGGAGCAUGAUGGCAGUGCAGUUAGCAGCCAAGAUACAGCAUUACAAACCUCAGGAGGAGCAAAUUGAAUAUUCAUAUAGUCUGCACAGAGCAUCCUAGUUCAGAAUUCUCAACUGCUUCCCACACUGUACUGGGUUUCUAAAAUCCCACCACUUUGCCACCAAGAUCUUUGAACUCUCUAGCCAGUCCAGCAGUUUCUGCAGCACAGGUUUUGGCUUUGCAGUCAGUGAGCAGAAGCAAUCCCAAGUGACUGAGGAAGACCAGUCACCCACGCUGCAGAGUGCAAACUGGCCCGUCCUGCUGUGUUCAAACGGAACAGACCUUGAGCAAGCCACGACACACAAGUUAGUAUCUGUGUGAAAUUUGAUUCGUAUCUGAAUGAAAAAAGGGGGCAGGAGACAUCUAGAGAAAUCACUCUCGGUUUGUAAAUGCUUUGCAUGCAGAAAAAGGCU